UGGGGAAUUUUGGACAAUGGGGGAAACCCUGAUCCAGCCAUCCCGCGUGUGCGAUGAAGGCCUUCGGGUUGUAAAGCACUUUUGGCAGGAAAGAAACGUCAUGGGUUAAUACCCCGUGAAACUGACGGUACCUGCAGAAUAAGCACCGGCUAACUACGUGCCAGCAGCCGCGGUAAUACGUAGGGUGCAAGCGUUAAUCGGAAUUACUGGGCGUAAAGCGUGCGCAGGCGGUUCGGAAAGAAAGAUGUGAAAUCCCAGGGCUCAACUUUGGAACUGCAUUUUUAACUACCGGGCUAGGGUGUGUCAGAGGGAGGUGGAAUUCCGCGGGUAGCAGUGAAAUGCGUAGAUAUGCGGAGGAACACCGAUGGCGAAGGCAGCCUCCUGGGAUAACACUGACGCUCAUGCACGAAAGCGUGGGAAGCAAACAGG
rnacentral:rRNA from 1 species